rnacentral:rRNA from 1 species
GACGAACCGUCCAAACGUUAUUCGGAAUUAUUGGGCUUAAAGGGUGCGUAGGCUGUGCAGUAAGUUAGGUGUGAAAUCCCUCGGCUCAACCGAGGAACUGCGCCUAAUACUGCUGUGCUUGAGGGAGACAGGGGUAAGCGGAACAGAUGGUGGAGCGGUGAAAUGCGUUGAUAUCAUCUGGAACACCGGUGGCGAAAGCGGCUUACUGGGUCUCUUCUGACGCUGAGGCACGAAAGCUAGGGUAGCGAACGGG